rnacentral:misc_RNA from 1 species
GAUGGGGGUGGAGCCGCUCGUAAUUGAGCUCGACGAGCUCGGCCCUCAAGGACCACAAUUGCAAAAGGUCUUGGAACGACUGACUGGACAAUAUACAGUUCCUAAUGUCUUUAUCGGGGGCAAGCAUGUCGGUGGCUGCGUAGAUACUGUAAAACUUCACCACAAAGGGGAGCUCUCUACUCUACUAUCAGAACUGAAUAUAGGCAUAAGGAGCUUGCGGAAGCCCUGAUAUGUAGUGUUCUCAGGCACUCUUCGUCUUGCUAUAUUGUUAGUUUCGAUUCUGCUGUCCAUGCGUCCACGGCCAUCUUAGUCGUGC